AACGAACGCUGGCGGCGUGGAUAAGACAUGCAAGUCGAGCGCUGAUUUGGAGGUAGCAAUAUUUUCAAGUCGGAGCGGCGCAAGGGUGCGUAACACGUGGGAAUCUGCCUUGAAGUGUGGGAUAACUCCGAGAAAUCGGAGCUAAUACCGCAUGUGAUCGUAAGAUCAAAGUUGGGGAUCGUAAGACCUGACGCUUCAAGAUGAGCCCGCGGCCUAUCAGCUAGUUGGUGAGGUAAAAGCUCACCAAGGCUAAGACGGGUAGCUGGUCUGAGAGGACGACCAGCCACACUGGAACUGAGACACGGUCCAGACACCUACGGGUGGCAGCAGUCGAGAAUUUUUCUCAAUGGGCGAAAGCCUGAAGGAGCGACGCCGCGUGGGGGAUGAAUGGCUUCGGCCCGUAAACCCCUGUCAUUUGUGAACAAAUUGACUCACUUAACACGUGUGUCAUUGAUUGUAACGGAAGAGGAAGGGACGGCUAACUCUGUGCCAGCAGCCG
rnacentral:rRNA from 1 species